rnacentral:rRNA from 1 species
CACGUAGGGUGCGAGCGUUGUCCGGAAUUAUUGGGCGUAAAGAGCUCGUAGGCGGUGUGUCGCGUCGGCCGUGAAAACCUGCAGCUUAACUGUGGGCUUGCGGUCGAUACGGGCAUCACUGGAGUUCGGCAGGGGAGACUGGAAUUCCUGGUGUAGCGGUGAAAUGCGCAGAUAUCAGGAGGAACACCGAUGGCGAAGGCAGCUCGCUGGGACGGUACUGACGCUGAGACGCGAAAGCGUGGGGAGCAAACAGG